GGGGACUUGUAUCAACGGCACCACGAGGGUUAGACUGUCUCCUUUUUCAAAUCAGUGAAAUUAAUCUCCCCGUGAAGAAGCGGGGAUACUCAUAUAAGACGAGAAGACCCCAUGGAGCUUCAAACCCAACUACACCCCUAGCUCUUAUAGCCCCACAACCCCCCUAGGCACCGUGUGCUUGGUUUUAGGUUGGGGCGACCGCGGAGUACAAUAAAACCUCCACAAUGAAUGGGAACACCCCCUUAUCUGAGGGCCACACCCCCUAAGAAUUAGAACACUAACAUAAAAUGAUCCAUUACUUGAUCAAUGAACCAAGUUACCCUGGGGAUAACAGCGCAAUCCAUUUCAAGAGCCCCUAUCGACAAAUGGGUUUACGACCUCGAUGUUGGAUCAGGGUACCCCAGUGGUGCAGCAGCUACUAACGGUUCGUUUGUUCAACGAUUAAAACCCU
rnacentral:rRNA from 1 species